AGACNUCCGGGNCCGNUUUUAAAGUCGUGAGCUCCGCCGGCCGCCGCGCCUGACCCGGACAUAGUAAACGCUGCUUGUCGAAGGUUGGACGGGGGCGGUUCGGCCUGAACAAAACCUACCCAUUCUAAGGUUUGACCUCAGAUCAGACAAGGAUACCCGCUGAACUUAAGCAUAUCAAUAAGCGGAAGAAAAGAAACCAACAGGGAUUGCCUCAGUAACGGCGAGUGAAGCGGCAACAGCUCAAAUUUGAAAUCUGGAGCCUUUGGCUUCCGAGUUGUAAUUUGAAGAGGAUGUUUCGGUCGCGGCCUGGGCCCAAGUUCCUUGGAACAGGACGUCACGGAGGGUGAGAAUCCCGUACGUGGCCUCAGGCUUGCUUCCGUGUGAAACUCCUUCGAAGAGUCGAGUUGUUUGGGAAUGCAGCUCAAAAUGGGUGGUAAAUUUCAUCUAAAGCUAAAUAUUGGCGGGAGACCGAUAGCGCACAAGUAGAGUGAUCGAAAGAUGAAAAGCACUUUGAAAAGAGAGUUAAACAGUACGUGAAAUUGUUGAAAGGGAAGCGCUUGCGAUCAGACUCGCCGGCGGUUGAUCAACGUUCCUUCUGGUGCGUGCACUCUGCCGUCGGCGGGCCAGCAUCGGUUGGGGCGGCGGGACAAAGACGGCGGGAAUGUGGCUCCCCUCGGGGAGUGUUAUAGCCUGUCGUGCAAUGCCGCCAGUCCCGACCGAGGUCCGCGGUUCCGCCUAGGAUGCUGGCUUAAUGGUCGCAAGCGACC
rnacentral:rRNA from 1 species